rnacentral:pre_miRNA from 9 species
UUUCGAUAGCGUAAAAGUUAACUCAAAUUUGUUUGUAGGAACGUUUGCCUGCGUUUGCCGCUAGGGGCGCUGUUCCAACUGCAUACAAAUUUGAGUUAACUUUUACGCUAUCGA